AUGCCGGCUGGCGUCAAGUUCGAUCCCACGGAUCAUGAGCUGAUCGAGCACCUCGAGGCCAAAGUGAGUGCUGACAGCGCGAGAUCUCACCCUCUCAUCGAUUUUUUCAUACUAACCAUCGACAGCGAGCACGGCAUAUGCUACACCCAACCUGAGAAACUUCCAAGUAUCACACAGAGUGGCCUAAGGAAGCAUAUCUUCCAGCGCAAUUCCAGGGUGUUCAAAAGGGGCACGUGGAUGCGUCGCAAGAUACAGUCGGAGUGCGGCACGCACGCGAUGUGGCACAAGUCCGGCAGUCCCUUGCCGAUGAUGGUCAUCGGCUGGAAGACGGGCAGCACAAAGGUUCUGGUGCUGCACACCAACAAGAACUUCGACCAGCAGAGGACCAACUGGGUGAUGCACCAGUACCACCUCGGGGACCUGGAGCAAGAGAAGGAGCGGGAGCUGGUCCUAUGCAAGAUUUUGUACCAGACGAACACUAGGGCCAGGAGUAAAAAGAUUAUAAGUUAG
rnacentral:rRNA from 1 species